rnacentral:rRNA from 1 species
AGUCGAGCGGUAGAGAGAAGCUUGCUUCUCUUGAGAGCGGCGGACGGGUGAGUAAUGCCUAGGAAUCUGCCUGGUAGUGGGGGAUAACGUUCGGAAACGGACGCUAAUACCGCAUACGUCCUACGGGAGAAAGCAGGGGACCUUCGGGCCUUGCGCUAUCAGAUGAGCCUAGGUCGGAUUAGCUAGUUGGUGAGGUAAUGGCUCACCAAGGCAACGAUCCGUAACUGGUCUGAGAGGAUGAUCAGUCACACUGGAACUGAGACACGGUCCAGACUCCUACGGGAGGCAGCAGUGGGGAAUAUUGGACAAUGGGCGAAAGCCUGAUCCAGCCAUGCCGCGUGUGUGAAGAAGGUCUUCGGAUUGUAAAGCACUUUAAGUUGGGAGGAAGGGCAUUAACCUAAUACGUUAGUGUUUUGACGUUACCGACAGAAUAAGCACCGGCUAACUCUGUGCCAGCAGCCGCGGUAAUACAGAGGGUGCAAGCGUUAAUCGGAAUUACUGGGCGUAAAGCGCGCGUAGGUGGUUUGUUAAGUUGGAUGUGAAAUCCCCGGGCUCAACCUGGGAACUGCAUUCAAAACUGACUGACUAGAGUAUGGUAGAGGGUGGUGGAAUUUCCUGUGUAGCGGUGAAAUGCGUAGAUAUAGGAAGGAACACCAGUGGCGAAGGCGACCACCUGGACUAAUACUGACACUGAGGUGCGAAAGCGUGGGGAGCAAACAGGAUUAGAUACCUGGUAGUCCACGCCGUAAACGAUGUCAACUAGCCGUUGGGAGCCUUGAGCUCUUAGUGGCGCAGCUAACGCAUUAUGUG